GUUUUUGUAGCUUAUAUAUUUAGAGCAUUUCAGUGAAGUUGAUGGGGAAAUUUUUAAUUUAAAAACA
rnacentral:tRNA from 1 species